UACAUAGAUUAAUGAGGGGAACUCAGGGAACUGAAACAUCUAAGUACAUGAAGGAAGAGAAAGAAAUUCGAUUCCGUAAGUAGCGGCGAGCGAACGCGGAUUAGCCCAAACCAAUAAAGUUUUCUUUGUUGGGGUUGCGGACAUAUCAUAACGAAGAGGUAUCGUAAUUGAAGAGGUUUGGAAAGACCCACCACAGAAGGUAAUAGUCCUGUAUGUUAAACGAGAAGACUUUAGAUAUGAUCCAGAGUACCACGGGACACGUGAAACCCUGUGGGAAGCAGGAGGGACCACCCUCCAAGGCUAAAUACUACCUAGUGACCGAUAGCGUAUAGUACCGUGAGGGAAAGGUGAAAAGAACCCCGGGAGGGGAGUGAAAUAGAACCUGAAACCCUGCACUUACAAGCUGUGGAAGCACAUUUCUUGUGUGACCGCGUACUUUUUGUAGAACGGGCCAACGAGUUACGUUAAGUAGCAAGGUUAAGCACUUAAGGUGUGGAGCCGUAGCGAAAGCGAGUUUUAACUGAGCGUUCAGUUACUUGACGUAGACCCGAAACCGGGCGACCUACCCAUGAGCAGGAUGAAGCGAAAGUAAAAUUUCGUGGAGGUCCGAACCCACGAGCGUUGAAAAGCUCGGGGAUGACUUGUGGGUAGCGGUGAAAUUCCAAUCGAGCCCGGAGAUAGCUGGUUCUCCCCGAAAUAGCUUUAGGGCUAGCCUCAAGGUGAGAGAUACGGAGGUAGAGCACUGAAUGUCCUAGGGGGUAUUGCACCUACCGAAGACUAUCAAACUCCGAAUGCCGUCAUCUUAUACUUGGGAGUCAGACUGUGGGUGAUAAGAUUCAUAGUCGAAAGGGCAACAGCCCAGAUCGUCAGCUAAGGUCCCUAAAUGUAAGUUAAGUGGUAAAGGAUGUGGGAUUGCACAGACAACCAGGAUGUUGGCUUAGAAGCAGCCACUCAUUCAAAGAGUGCGUAAUAGCUCACUGGUCGAGUGAUCCUGCGCCGAAGAUUUCCGGGGCUAAAACUUACUACCGAAGCUACGGCAUCAGUAAUGAUGGGUAGGGGAGCUUCCCAUACGGGUUGAAGCAUGACCGUAAGGACAUG
rnacentral:rRNA from 1 species